rnacentral:rRNA from 1 species
ACGGGAGGCAGCAGUGGGGAAUAUUGGGCAAUGGGCGCAAGCCUGACCCAGCAACGCCGCGUGAAGGAUGAAGGUCUUCGGAUUGUAAACUUCUUUGAUCAGGGACGAAUAAAUGACGGUACCUGAAGAACAAGUCACGGCUAACUACGUGCCAGCAGCCGCGGUAAUACGUAGGUGGCAAGCGUUAUCCGGAUUUACUGGGUGUAAAGGGCGCGUUGGCGGGGAUGCAAGUCAGAUGUGAAAUCCAUGGGCUUAACUCAUGAACUGCAUUUGAAACUGUAUCUCUUGAGUGUCGGAGAGGUAGAUGGAAUUCCUAGUGUAGCGGUGAAAUGCGUAGAUAUUAGGAGGAACACCAGUGGCGAAGGCGAUCUACUGGACGAUAACUGACGCUGAGGCGCGAAAGCGUGGGGAGCAAACAGGAUUAGAUACCCUGGUA